UAAGUUCUUUCAGGUCUCAGAGGUCUUUUUUUCCCCUCUCACAGGUUAUACUUAACUCUUCCAGCAUAUCCCAACAUAUCACAUAUCCAUCCCAACAUAUCACACCUCGCCAAAAUAAAACAACUAUCCUAAUGUGGGAUUUACCUCCUGCUACAAACAAAGUUUAGAAAGGAAGAGUGGCACCAGGAAUAUUUCAUUCCUAUGAAAUUGGAAUUCUAUGGUAAUCUCUGGAACAUCAUUCUCUUUUCACAGGUGUCACACCUAGAUUGAUUAGUUUUGGUAAAGUAUAAUUGAGUCUUUCAAGAGCUCACAACUUUAAACACGAUGUCAAGCACAUCUCAAACAUGCAGUCAAACAGACACGCCAACAGAGUGUCGAGCAUACCUCCAGCAGCUAUUGGACAUAAAUGAACAACGGAAUAGUUGGUGUAUAGUGGAAUCUUUGAAUAAUGUGACCUGGUUGAGACCUCAGAAGAGACAUUAUUUACAGACUCAACAUAUGGGCACUACCGAAAUCGAGCAGAAUAUCACUGAAACUGGCAGGAGCUCCUGGGCAGAGACCCAUCCUGUUCACCGGGAGAGGAGACAUUUCCCAGAGAGAAAUUUGACAGGUCUGUCUAAACUAUGCAUCCCAAGCCACUGACAGUUGUCCUGACUUUCUGUCCUAUCACUGGACCUUGACGACUCUGGAAGAGAGUGCAAGUGCCUACGAUGUUGUGCAACUCUGCUUCACUAAAAUCCAAUUCAUGCACAAGUCAAGCCAUGCAGUGAUCCUGGACAACUUCAAAGACUUUGAAAAAUGUUAUCCAUCACCAGAGAAAAAACUGAUGGAGGCUGAAUGCAAAUGGAAGCAUUUCAUUUUUCACUUUACUUUCUUGAAGAGUUGUCUUGUUAUUGUUUAGUGAUAUAUGUCUUCUUCUACAACAUGACAAAUAUGGAAAUAUGUAUUGAAAAGGAAAAGACUAGACUAAGAUAUUCUGAGCAAAGCUGACUAUUGUGAGAGGUGUCCGCCACCAUAGCCAGGAUCGAGACCCUGAGCCUUACAAGUUACAGAUAUUUAUAUAAGUGAAGGAACAUGACCUUGACUCAGACACUAACUAGCUGUGUGACCCUCGGCAAGUCCUGCCUCAGUCUCCUUCUCUACAAAAUGGAAAGAAGAUCAAAGGAGAGAUUUGUCAAGUGCCUGGCAAACAGUAGAAUCAAUACUAAAUGAAAUGAAUUCUUGGGGCCAAGAUGGAGGAAAGAGGAUGCAUGGACUCAUCUGAUUUCUACCAAAUUAUCCUCAAAAACACUAUAAUAUAAUGCCUCAGAACAAAUUCUGGAGCAGCAUAACCCCCCCGAAAGUUGGUGAAGUAAUUUUUCAACCCAAAACAAUUUAGAAGGCCAGCACAAGGGAUCUAGUGCACCCAAGGCAGAAGUGGAGAACAAAGUAGGUAAGGGAAGACCCCACAGAGGCAACCAGGCAACUAACUGGCCCUGGGCACAGUUGCAGCAGUAAAACCUUUCAGAACUCUUAGCCACAGAUGGCAAAGGGAGUCAGAAUGACUGCUCAGGAGAUUAGAAGAGUCCCUUUGCUGGCUCUAGAUGCAAGACCUUUGUUAUAUUGUCCAUAUGCAUAUCCAGUGAGGAAGAGAACUAGCAUUCACAAGUACUUGUGGUCACAGGGCAGCAGGGGACCCUGGUCACACUUCUAAGGGGUAAAAGAGCACUUGGGGUUACCUACCAGAGCACAGGCUGAGAAAGUACUAAGCACAUCUCUUUUUACAUCAUACUCCCUUGGAAGAACUGAAAGCAUAUAGAUCCCAAAAGCCAGGUCUAAAGGCAGGUGCACAAAGAACCUGAAGUUUGGAAUAGUGUUCCCUUCACCACAAUUACAGAGGCCAACUUUAAUAGUUUUUUAAAUUAAAAGGAAAAAAGAUUGAAAAUGAACAAACAAAUAAAAGAAACUCAACAUAGAAAGUUAUUUUGGUGAUAGGGAAGACCAAAACAUAAACUCAGCAGAAGACAACAAAGUCAAUACUGUGGCAUCCAAAAACUCUAAUAAAAAUAUGAAUUGCUCUCAACUCCAAAAAGAAGAAAUGGAGGAGCUAAAAAAGUUUUUAAAGAUCAAAUAAGAGAGGUAGAAGAAAAAUUGGGGAAAGAAAUGAGAGUUUUGCAGAAAAUCAUGAAAAAGACAAUAGCUUGGUAAAGGAGGUACAACAACAACAAAAAAAAAAAACUAAAGAAAUUAAUAGCUUAAAAGACAGAAUAGACCAAUUGAUGAAGGAAGCACAAAAAUCCAAAGCAGAGAAGAACAUGUUAAAAAGCAGCAUUUGGCCAAGUGGGAAAAGACCUACAAAAAUGUACUAAGGAGAACUUCUUAAAAGGCAGAAUUGAGGAGGUGGAGUCAAGAUGGCAGUGUAGAAGCAGCAAGAGUUCAGACCCCUGAGAACCCUUCCUUACCAAUCAGAAACUGAAUGCUCCUGGGGGACUGAAAAUCAAACCUAGCAACAAGACAGAACCAAGGAACCCUCAUGCUAGACUCAAUCCAAAAGGAAGGCCCACCAAAAGCCAGAAUUCUAGAACACUCAGGUUUAGGGGGAAGGCAGAAGAAAGGUCCAAGGACUCCUUUCCCCCCAACCCCCAGAGCACUAAGCCUCCAAUGGCAGCUGGAACCUCUGGGCAGGCAAAGGCACUUGUCUGGAUGGUGUACCUUGUGAGCAAGGCUGUGCCAGGCCCAGCGCAUUGAACACAGGCAGUGGAGAAGGAGCUAGAGAGGGAGAAAAGAGGGGGCAGCCUGGUCACAGGCGGAGACCCUCCAUAUUGCUCCAGCCAUCCAGGAGGUUUUGGCCUCAGGGCAUAUACAGCCCAACCCAGCUGAACUUAAUCCCAUCGAAAGCCUUCAGAGGUCAUGGAAGCCCAAGCUCUAACACCCCUUCCCCAUAGACCACUGGACAUUAAUCCAAUCAAAAGCCUUCAGAGGACAGGGAAGCUCAAACUCCAACACCCCUCCCCCACAGACUGCACAAAGAGAUCUUCUGUCAAAUCUCCAAGAGGGGAGAUGCACAGAAAACCCCAAAUCCAAAAGAAUGAGAGUAGCAAGAGCACAGACCAAUACAGGGAGUAAAGAAGGGAUAAAUAUGAGCAAACAACAGAAAAAGAAGAAAUUAAAAUAGACAACUUCUAUACAGGCAAUGAACAAAGAGCAAACAGAACAGAGCAGGAGGGAUCAGCAAACUAUGAAUCAGAAAUCCCAGUGAAUUGGAUACAGGCUUUGGAAGAACUCAAAAUGCAAUUCAAAACACAAUUAAGAGAGGCUGAAAACAAUUGGGAAAAGAUUUAAAAACUAAGAUAAGUCAUCUGGAAACAGAAAAAUAGUGUCUUAAAAGUCAAAAUCAUCCAGCUUGAAAAUGAGGCAAAGGAGAUGAAAGAUGAGGCAAAGGAGAUGAGAGAUGAGGUAAAGAAAAUGAAAGAUGACCUCCAAAGAAAAUCAGACCAGAAGGAGAAGGAUGACCAAAAGGCCAGAGAUGAAAUACAGUCUUUAAGAACCAGAAUACAACAACUAGAAUUAAGUGAUCUCACAAGGCAGCAGGACACUAUAAAAAAAAAGAAUGAAAAAAGUGGGUAAAAUAUGAAACAUCUCGACUUCCGGUCAAGAUGGCGGCUUAGAGAAAGCUAAAGUUCACAUCUCUGGAAACCCUUCCCUACCGAACUCAAACUAUAUGCUCCUAAGGCACCGAAAUUCAAAACAAACAACAGCAUAGACCCCAGGAAUAAUCCUCCUGGACCUGGACCUGGAUCAAAAGGUAUGACCCCCCCAAAAGCCAGAACAUGAGAUCACUCGGACCUAAGGGGUAGGCAGAAGGAAGGUCCCAGGACCCAUCCCCCCAACCCAGAGCGCUGAGUCCAAGGCAGCAGAGGGAACCCCAGAGCCUCAGGGCCGGCUAUCCUGAAGGCCUCUUCCUGAAAACAACCUGACCUAGUCAAGGGGGCACCCAGACAGCAGGGAAAUAGAGAGAGAAACAGGGGAGCCUGUAACCCCCUGACCAGAUCCUUCCAUCUGAGUCUAACCAAAGGUCCCUGCCUCAGGGCAUACUCAGUCCGAGGUUAAUCCUAUCAGGAGCCCUCAGAGCUCCAGGAAGCCAUGCCCCCCCCCUCAGAGAGCAGGGUCAAACAACAGUAACCCUCAGGCCUGGCAAAAGGGCCUUGGAGCUGAAAGCCGCAUCCUGAAAACAACCUGACCCAGUCGAGGGGGCACCCAGACAGCAGGGAAACAGAGAGAGACAGGAGGAGCCUGUAGCCCCCUGAUCAGAUCCUUCCAUCUGAGUCUCACCGAAGGUCUCUGCCUCAGGGCAUACUCAAUCUGAGGUUAAUCCUACCACCAGCUCUCAGAGCUCUAGGAAGCCACGGCCCCUCCCCCCUCAGAGAGCAGAGUCCUCUGAAACAACAGUAACCCUCAGGGCUGGCAAAAGGGCCUCAGGAGCCGGCUAUUCUGAAGGUCACAUCCUGAAAACAACCUGACCCAGUCUUGGGGGCACCCAGACAGCAGGGAAACAAAGAUAUGGGGCAGCCUGCAGCCCCCUGGCUGGAUCCUUCCAUUCAAGUCUCAAGGUCCCUGCCUCAAAGCAUACUCAGUUCAACCCAGAGAAAGUUAAUCUUAUCAGGAGCCCUAGGAGUUCCAGGAAGCUUUGGCUCCUCCCCCCUCAGAGUGCUGGCCAGCUAAGGCACAGAAACAAACACCACAAGGAAAGGGUCGAGUCAGGCUCAGAGUGUGGAAGUAAGGCAACAGAGAAGCAUCGGGAGGGAACUGAGGAGGGCAGUAAAAGGGAAACACCAACAAUUCCUGGCUUCCCUGGGAAGACAGAACAACAACUGCAUAGAACGGACAAUCUGCCUAGGGCUAAAACCUCUGAACACCAGACAGAGAUAAGAAAAGCUAGUCCUCCCCACUCAGAUAGAGAUGGCAAACUCCACAAAAGCACAAAACCCCCAAAAUUCCAAGAAAAACAAGAAGAAGGGGGCGACUUUGGACACAUUUUAUGGAGCAAAAAUACAAAAUACAGAGGGGAUAGAAGAGGAAACACAAGCAAAUGCUCUGAAACCUUCCAAAGGAAAUGGAAACUCUCCACAAACCCAUGAAGAAUUUGAAUCGGAAAGGAUCAAAAAGAUGGAAGCCUUCUGGGAGGAAAAUUGGGAAAUAAUGCAAAAGAAAUUCACACAUCUACAAAACCAGUUUGACCAAACUGAAAAGGAAAACCAGGUUUUAAAGGUCAGAACUAGGCAACUCGAAGACAACGAUCAGAUAAAAGAGCAAGAAUCAAUAAAGCAAAGCCAAAAGAUCAAGAAAUUAGAAGAGAAAAUAAAAUAUCUCACUGACAAGGUGACAGACUUGGAAAAUAGAGGAAGAAGAGAUAAUUUAAGAAUAAUUGGACUUCCAGAAAAGCCAGAAAUAAACAGCAAACUUGACAUCGUAAUACAAGAUAUAAUCAAAGAAAAUUGCCCAGAGAUUCGAGAACAAGGGGGGGGGGCAAUACAGCCACUGACAGAGCUCACAGAACACCCUCUACACUAAACCCCCAAAAUACAACUCCCAGGAAUGUAACUGCCAAAUUUCAAAGCUUUCAAACAAAAGAAAAAAUCCUACAAGAAGCCAGAAAAAGACAAUUUAGAUAUAAAGGAAUGCCAAUUAGGGUCACACAAGACCUUACAAGUUCCACUCUGAAUGACCGUAAGGCAUGGAACAUGAUUUUCAGAAAGGCAAGAGAGCUGGAUCUUCAAUCAAGAAUCAGCUAUCCAGCAAAACGGACUAUAUACUUCCAAGGGAAAGAAUGGGCAUUCAACAAAAUAGAAGAUUUCCAACGUUUUGCAAUGAAAAGACCAGAGCUCUGUGGAAAGUUCGAUAUCGAAAAUCAAAGAGCAUGGAAUACCUGAAAAGGUAAAUAUUAAGGAAAGGGAAAAGGAGAAAAAUGUUAUCUUUCUCUUUUACCCAAACUCUCUUCUAUAAGGACUACAUUUAUAUCAAUCUAUGUAUACUAACAUGUGGGGAAAAUGUAAUGUGUAAAUAGGGGGUAAAGAAAGACCAAAUAGAAUAAUCUUUCUCACACAAAGAUUCACACGGGAAGGGGAGGGGAAGAAAACUCCUAUAUGAAGGAGAGAAAGAGUUUUUACUUAAACCUUACUCUCAGGGAAAUCAACUCUGAGAGGGAAGAACAUCCAGAUCCAUUGGGAUCAUGAAUUCUAUCUUACCCAACAAGGUAAGGGAGA